rnacentral:lncRNA from 1 species
AUGAGAAAGGUCUAAUAUAUUUAAUUUCCUCUGUUGCAUUACAAAGAACAUGAUCCAAAGAUUACAAUACUAGCCCAAUUCUGGACCUUUCAAUCAUUUUCUCAACUAUUCGAAAUUAGAAGUUUUGAAACAUUGACACUGGAAAUGAUAUCCUAAAACAUAACAUAAGAUUAUCCAACAGCAACACCAUUCUCGACCUUGCAAUCAGAUGAUAAGACUAUAUAGCAGCAACACCAUUCUCGACCUUGCAAUCAGAUGAUAAAACUAUCCAGCAACAACACCAUUCUCGACCUUGCAAUCAGAUGAUAAGACUAUCAUGCAGCACCAUUCUGGACCAUGCAAUCAACGUCUAAGCCAUGCAUCGUCAAAAUAUCUUAUGAAUCUACAAAAAUAAAGAAAUGAGAUCAGUAACUUAUGGUAGAAAACAAGGUUAAUAGAGCAGCAAAAUUUAGAAGAGCAACAAACAAAGGUUGAAGGCCAUGCAAUAAUUAAUCCGGCUGCAUGGCCAAUAAUUUUUAACAUUUUUAGUGGUCGUAUCAACUGGUCAGAUUUUGCUAAUGUAGCACCAACUCUACAUGUACAUCUCUACGGAAGAAAAACUACAAUUCAUUAGUUUUUUAACCAAAAAAAAUACUACAUAUCUAAUUGAUAUCGAAUAAACUUAUGUGACUAGUCCGCGAUAGCAUGAGUGAAUAUGGUGUGAUAUAUUCGCAAAACCUAGACUAGUUAGAUUUGGAAAGUAUCACACAUCUGUAGCACAAAGUAGAUAUUAGGGUACUAAACUAACUCACCUCAUUCCAUAAUUAAUUUUCAUCAUGUCGAUACAAAUAUUGUUUUAUAGGAAGCGAGGGAAUGUAAUUUACACACACAGUAUUUGAUGAAUUGUUUUACCUAAUCUAGUUGUAACGACUCAUAUCUCGCAGAAGCAGUAUGAGAAUUUCACAUGCAAGAAAAGUUUUCUUUUUGUACAAAUUAGGUGGGAAAAAAUAUAGGUAUAUGGUAGAUAAGAAAUAAUAUUCAGGAUGGCAAUUAGUAGUCCAAUUUCCCUUUGUGGUGGUAGAACUACAGUUACAAAUUACAUCAUAAAAAUUCCUAUUUGGCACUAGUGAUCUUCCAUGUGUAAGUGCCAAGAAUAUUGACAUGGAACCAGUGGUGGUGCUAGGAUUUACAGGCUGUGAAUUCAAAUCUAUAUAUUCCAAUUAUACAUUCAUGUACUACACUUAAAUGUAGUAAAAUACAAGCGGCAAACCUGAACCAUGUUUUGUCCUUUGACGUCACAGUCCACAGUCACCGCGUAAUGUCAUCACUACCUGAAACAAUCCAGUUUCUGUAACUUGAAGAUACAACAUAUGUAUUGGUAAUUUAGAAGACCACAAAACAAUAUUUUGAAUGCAUGUAUACAGACAUUAAAUUUUCUCCAUAGACAAACUAUGAUCUCCAUAAGCCAAUUCCAUGGUUAGAAUGGAGAAGUCAACAGAAAAUCGUUACUCACACAAAGUCUCUAGACCAAAUGUUACUCUGAAUUUGAACUCUCUCAAGAUAAUCUAAAAUACUGAGAAAUUAAUGCAUUUUGGUAUUGCCAAUAUAUUUAAUUAAUAGAUAAACUUUGUCAAGUGAGAUGGUUCAGUGUUUGCAGUAAAAGAUCACUAUCAAAAUUGGAAGCUACUUUUUCAACAGUGAUUAGUUUUUUCAACGAAAAAUUGCUGGAAACUUGAAUACUGCAUAGUCAGUUCCAUAUAUGUACAUGCAUCUAAGUUUUCCUACUUGGCUGAACAGCUAUACUAGUACAAAAUUAAUAGCUUCAACUACAACUAGUAAUAUCCGUAUAACUUAUAGCUGCUGCAUAUUGCAUUGUAUUGUAUGAAUAUGACUAAGACCCUAUCAAGAAGUAUAAAUCAAUAGAGAUACGAGAAACACAAACCCAUAGAGAUUCGCCAAAAACUACAGUAAAUGCCAACCACUAAUCAUUGAUGCGUUAAUGUGGCAUUAGAAAUAUGAACGGACAUAUCAGCCUAGGUGACUGAGCUAUGGUAUUGGAUUGGAUGGGAUGGGGCAGAUGGCUUAGCUGACCGUACUGCACUACAAACCAUCACUAUGGAGCGGCCAUACCACUUCUGUACAUCUCGCAGUCAUCGCGCCACCGUUGUGCAUAUGGGAGUCGCCGCACCACUGCUGUGCAUCUGGGAACUGCAACCAAACCUCGGCUUUUUUGGCCCAUCGAGUAGCCCCCCUGCCC